rnacentral:lncRNA from 1 species
AAAGAUAUGACAGCAAGACACUAUAGAAGUAUCCACAAGAAUAAGAAGGCCAAGAAAUGCUUGCUUGUUAGGGAACUGAUCAUGUUAAAGUAUAUGCUGUGACGCCGCCAUCACAGGCUGCAUUUUCCUGGUGCUUCUUGUUUCUUAGAAUGACUUCAUGCUCUUAUCUUUAGUUUCCCUCCCACCAAGGCCACAGCGAGACAGAGAAGUUGAAACCUGUUUCUGCAGGGCUGGACCCAUAAAAGACAACCUGGCCUCUGAUAGGUUAAAGGUAGCCCACUCCUUAAGAAUAAGCAAUAGCCCAGCCCAAAAAUGAUAAAAGGACCUUCCUUUCUUUGUUCUCGUCUUCUCUUCUCUUCCUCUCUUCUUCUUCCUCCUCUCUCUCUGCUCUCUCUCCUCCCACCCCUUGAAUAAAAUCUCCAGCCGGACUUCUCGGUGUGUGUGUGGCCUAGUUGUUGAGUGUCACAGUUCCCUUGCAUUGCUGAAGGAGGGAGCCGCCGAGCUGAACUGUGAAUCUACGAUGUAGGAGGAGGGGCAAUGCUUACAGGAGGAGGAGCCUGCACAUGGAAGCAGGAGGUAGAACAGCUCAUCCGGAAACAGCUAGCACAGCUGGAGUGGAGAGUGGUGACGCUGUUGCUUUCGGGGGCUGGGUGUGGAGGCUGCCUGUCUUGCACGCACCUCAAUGCCACGGGAAAAAGUCAGAGCCCAGAAUCGUCAGAGACCAUUUUCACUGCAAGCCUACCAAGCAGGAAGGCUGAGGACUUCAACAAGAAGAAAUCAAUCAUUAUGGGGGGCUAAUUUUGAUUCUUUUUAAAAAUCUAUUUAGAGACAUGUGGUAAGUUAAGAAAGCAGGAAACCAAAGAACCUGACAUUUUUUGGAACCACAAAUAAAAGCUCCUUUAAAAAGUUAACACGGCAAAGAUGAAUGUGGAUUCUAACACGUCAACACAGCUGUUUCGUGAUUUGGCUCUGCUGGAAGUUGUUAUACUAGAUCAGAGCCAAAAUGGAAACUUAGUUUGAUCUACAGCUCCCACUUUAAGAGCCCUAAAAGGAGACACUGUGUCCUCUGAGCAGACUAGGGCUCAUUUCAUUCAUGUAAUAUAAGACAUGAGACUGAAGAUUAGCUAGAAGACAAAUUUAGCAAGAAUGACCACACCAAAGACCACUUUUCAAAUGCCACCUUUGAAUAUAAUUAAGUUGUAAAAUGUA